AGGUGGGCGGCCUCGGCCAGGCGACCUUCCUCCGCUUGGGCUGCUUCCCUCUUGGCGUUAUUCAUCGGCUCGAUGUUGGCGAUGAGCUGGUGUACAACCUGCAAGAGUGGCUAGGGCAUCAAUAUAAAAGCUAAGGAAUAAGCUAAGUAAAGGAGCGGAAAGAAGAAAGAAGUAAAUUGACUUACAUCGAGAAAAGACCCCAGAGAGUCCCAGACCCACUGCUCAGGAUCGGUGUG
rnacentral:lncRNA from 1 species